UGGGGAAUAUUGCACAAUGGGGGAAACCCUGAUGCAGCGACGCCGCGUGAACGAAGAAGGUAUUCGUAUCGUAAAGUUCUGUCCUAUGGGAAGAUAAUGACAGUACCAUAGAAGAAAGCUCCGGCUAAAUACGUGCCAGCAGCCGCGGUAAUACGUAUGGAGCGGGCGUUGUCCGGAAUUAUUGGGCGUAAAGGGUACGCAGGCGGUUUAAUAAGUCGAAUGUUAAAGAUCGGGGCUCAACCCCGCAAAGCAUUGGAAACUGAUAAACUUGAGUAGUGGAGAGGAAAGUGGAAUUCCUAGUGUAGUGGUGAAAUACGUAGAUAUUAGGAGGAAUACCAGUAGCGAAGGCGACUUUCUGGACACAAACUGACGCUGAGGUACGAAAGCGUGGGGAGCAAACAGG
rnacentral:rRNA from 1 species